rnacentral:rRNA from 1 species
AGAGUUUGAUCAUGGCUCAGAACGAACGCUGGCGGCAGGCCUAACACAUGCAAGUCGAACGUGAAGCCACCUUCGGGUGGUGGAAAGUGGCAGACGGGUGAGUAACGCGUGGGAGCGUGCCUUUCGGUUCGGAAUAACCCAGGGAAACUUGGGCUAAUACCGGAUACGCCCUUCGGGGGAAAGAUUCAUCGCCGAAAGAUCGGCCCGCGUCGGAUUAGCUAGUUGGUAGGGUAAUGGCCUACCAAGGCGACGAUCCGUAGCUGGUCUGAGAGGAUGACCAGCCACACUGGGACUGAGACACGGCCCAGACUCCUACGGGAGGCAGCAGUGGGGAAUAUUGGACAAUGGGCGAAAGCCUGAUCCAGCCAUGCCGCGUGGGUGAAGAAGGCCUUAGGGUUGUAAACCCCUUUCAGCGGGGAAGAUAAUGACGGUACCCGCAGAAGAAGCCCCGGCUAACUCCGUGCCAGCAGCCGCGGUA